rnacentral:rRNA from 1 species
GUCGACCGGCGCACGGGUGAGUAACGCGUAUCCAACCUUCCCAUUAUGUGGGAUAACCUGCCGAAAGGCAGACUAAUACCGCAUAGUCUUCGAUGACGGCAUCAGAUUUGAAGUAAAGAUUUAUCGGUAAUGGAUGGGGAUGCGUCUGAUUAGCUUGUUGGCGGGGUAACGGCCCACCAAGGCGACGAUCAGUAGGGGUUCUGAGAGGAAGGUCCCCCACAUUGGAACUGAGACACGGUCCAAACUCCUACGGGAGGCAGCAGUC